rnacentral:rRNA from 1 species
GACGAACGCUGGCGGCGUGCUUAACACAUGCAAGUCGAACGGAAAGGCCUGCUUUCCCUUGUGGAUUGCGGGUACUCGAGUGGCGAACGGGUGAGUAACACGCGAGUGAUCUGCCCCCAACUUGGGUAUAAGCCUGGGAAACUGGGCCUAAUUCCCGAUAGGACUGCAGGGUGGUGCCUGUGGUGGAAAACGAUUUUCUAGUGGUUGGGGAUGAGCUCGCGGCCUAUCAGCUUGUUGGUGGGGUAAUGGCCUACCAAGGCGGCGACGGGUAGCCGGCCUGGGACGGAGAUGGGGGACAGCCACACUGAGACUGGGUCACGACCCAGACGGCAGGCGGCAGCAGGGAUUGGGAAUAAAGGGGCGAGAGCGGGAGCCUGAAGCAGCGACGCCGUGAGGAGGGUGACGGGCUUGGAGAUGUAAGCUACUAUCGACCACGAGAAGGGCACGUGGUUGGGAGGGUGGUGACGGUAGUGGUAGAAGAAGCACCGGCUAACUACGUG